UAGUUGAUGACAAUGGGAUGGGAUGGGAUGGGUAGUUCCAAGAUUAAGAAGCUGGACACCAUGUCUGUGCUUAUAUUAGCAGCUGAAAUACACAUUUAACCACAUGGUAAAUAGUUAAAUAAUUAGCAACUAAUACAUAGACGUGUCAGGUUGAUAUAGGUUAUGAGACAUUAGCAUACUGUCUUCCCUUUCCAAUUAAUGCAGGAAUGAUUUACCAAGCUAGCUAAUGUUAGCUAACAAAAUUAGACUACCAGUAUAUCAUUAACGUUGACGUUAAUUACUUUAAACCAAAAGAUAGUGCAAGCAAAUUAAACUAACUAAAUUGUCGCCCUUUUUGAAACUCUUAGUUAUGUUAAUCUUAGUUAGCCUAGCUAAGAUUGUCGACAAUGACUGACACCGUCAAUUAUUUAGCUUCGCCGUUCGGCACCCUUUCUAUUUAUUUUCUAUUGUCAGUAGAAAGGGCGCCAAAGACGGCGAAGCUAAAUAAUCGACGGUGUCAGUCAUUAGGGCACAUUUACACCUUAUUAUCACUAAUCUGGCAAUGAAACACUAUCAAUCUAACCAAAGUUAAACUGUUAAACUGCUAACAGUCAACGUUACCUAGUUAAAAUAGCAUGCUAACUUGGUUUGCCAACUUUCCAAUUCAAAUGAACGUUAGCUAACUGAAGGUAGACGGGUAUAAACAAAUGAACAUUACCUUUUAAUACUGCGGUUGAUAUAUGAUCCAUGCCCGGAUAUGUGUCAUCCAUUCCAUCUUCGUUCAUGGUGUUGUUAAAUGACUUUUUAUUUAUAGGCCUCCCUUAUGUCGCUAGAUAAUGUAAUGAACGUAUGUCAGUUAAGCAAUAUCACACGAAAGGGAGUGCUGAAUAUCAGCACAGCUGUGAUUCGGUCGUAGGUACAAGGCCGCAGGCCGAGUGCCGAAGAUAAUAAUAUUCAGUAUAACAGCACGACCUCGAGUGUGAUAUUGCUUUUAUACAACAGUUCUACAAGCACCAUUUAUUAGUUAACAGUAAUAAGCGACAACCAAUUAUGAUUUGUUUGUCUGGGACACAUAGUUCCACAACUGGACUGGGACACAUAGUUCCACAACUGGACUGGAACACAUAGUUCCACAACUGGACUGGGACACAUAGUUCCACAACUGGACUAGGACACAUAUUUCCACAACUGGACUGCGACACAUAGUUCCACAACUGGACUGGGACACAUAGUUCCACAACUGGACUGGGACACAUAUUUCCACAACUGGACUGGGACACAUAGUUCCACAACUGGACUGGGACACAUAGUUCCACAACUGGACUGGGACACAUAUUUCCACAACUGGACUGGGACACAUAGUUCCACAACUGGACUGGGACACAUAUUUCCACAACUGGACUGGGACACAUAGUUCCACAACUGGACUGGGACACAUAGUUCCACAACUGGACUGGAACACAUAGUUCCACAACUGGACUGGGAAACAUAGUUCCACAACUGUACUGGGAAACAUAGUUCCACAACUGGACUGAAACACAUAGUUCCACAACUGGACUGGGACACAUAGUUCCACAACUGGACUGGGAAACAUAGUUCCACAACUGGACUGGAACACAUAGUUCCACAACUGGACUGGGACACAUAGUUCCACAACUGGACUGAGACAGGACUGGGACACAUAGUUCCACAACUGGACUGGGACACAUAGUUCCACAACUGGACUGAGACAGGACUGGAACACAUAGUUCCACAACUGGACUGGAACUUGACUGUUGUCAAGCGCCACAUAAACAUUUUCCUACACACUAGCUUGCUACUUUGUGUAGGUCUACACGUUACCGUCCUCUCCUGAUGACCAUUCAUAAUUUAACUAAAAUGUUAUUUGAGGAAAUAUGUUAAUCUUUGUGGUGCGACGUUUGUUACAAUCUAAGAUAGAUAACGAUCGUUAAUGUAAUUAAUUAAAGGUUAUUAGAACACCUGCAAAGCGGAGUGAUACAUGUAUAGUUAAAAGUCCCAGUGCUGUUAUACUCUACUCCAAUCAAAUUACUUGGUCGUAAAAAAAAGACUUGUGAACAUCAUUUUUAGUUCUUUUCACCCUUUUCAUAGUAAGAAGUGGGAAUGUUUUACUUGCGUUUCCUUUUAGUAACGUUCAAGUGCGUUAUCUGCUGUGUUUUUAUGACGUUUUCAUUGAAACUGUUAUUGAGCCAUAUCAAUAGAUUUCACAGUCGCAGCCCUGAUUUCUGGUUGCUCUGUGGUAUUUGCGGAUGCACUGAGGAAUAUAGAGUAUACAAUUCCUUCUAUCAUCAUGUAAAGAGAAGAUACACCUUCAACACCUACCUGAAGGCACCAGACCAGGUGAACAGCCAUCGGAGGAAAGCCAAGUACCCCCGGAACAAGUAAGUAGCUAGCUAGGAUUUGUUUUUGUUUACUGCUGAAUUUUAAAAAAAAUAAUGUUUUAGUGAAUGGACAGGACCAAAGUCAUACUGUCCAUUUAAGCUAUUCGAUAAUUUUAGCGAUAAUGACUCUUAUGGCUAAAGCUGUGUUAAUGUGAAAAUAAUCAAUGUCCCAUAGGAACAAAACACUUAAAUAGAACUAUUGGUGAAACUAAAUACAAUUACAAAUAAUAAUCUGUUUCUUUGACAUGUGCUACACAGGACAACAUUCAACCCGAUCAGCUUCUAGCUAACUCCAGCAUCACUGAUCAGCAACUCCAUACACCUGACUCAGACGAAGGGAAAAGGGGCAUUGACCAACAUGGAGCUGUCACAGUAAGAUCUGACUACACAUGCCACUGUUUUUGUGAUAAAUGCCAGAGCCAAGCAUCGUCUCUCACAGAACGGCUUGAAUGACAUUGUUGCUGGGGUACAGCAGUAUCAAUCAUCACUAUUGGACAACCUCAGGAAGCAGAUGGAGGCAGUGGUAAAGAAGCAUUCAGGAAGCAGAUGGAGGCAGUGCUAAAGAAGCAUUCAGGAAGCAGAUGGAGGGAGUGCUAAAGAAGCAUUCAGGAAGCAGAUGGAGGGAGUGCUAAAGAAGCAUUCAGGAAGCAGAUGGAGGGAGUGCUAAAGAAGCAUUCAGGAAGCACAUCAGGUCAACUUGAAGAAGAUGCAAUGGAUAUAUUUGACAAUUUCAUUGAGCCUUUUGCUGGCGUUGCAACAACAUUUAGACAGGACAGUGUAAUUAAGAAGCUGUUUAGCUGUUUGGACGCAGAGGAAAUUCCAGUUGCUGGAACCAUAUGCAGGAUGAAAUGUGGAGGAUCAAAAGACAUUUUCAUCAAAGACAAAUUAUUUCAUUAUAUACCAUUAGUCAAAAGUCUAGAACAGUUCUUAUCACACCCAAGGAUUUUGUCUGGUUGAAAAGGGACCCCAGAUGUGCAGAGAAUGUUUUUUUCAUGACAUUGUUGAUGGUGCUCUUCUAAAAUCACAUCCCUUAUUUUCAGAGAAACCAAAUGCAUUGCAGAUUGUUCUGUACACGGAUGAAAUAGAGAUCUGUAAUCCACUAGGAUCCUUUGCAUCAAAAAACAAGUUGUUAAUGGUGUACUACACCCUAGGAAAUAUAAAUCCAAAAUACAGGUCUAAACUGGCUGCUAUCAGGCUACUUGCCGUGGCUAGAUUACCAGACCUCCGUCAAUCUGGUGUAGAUGUAAAAUUGAAUAGAAUCAAGGAAGACAUGGAUACAUUGUAGAGUGGGGUUAAAAUGCAAACUAUUAACAGACAGAAAAUGAUAUAUGGUGCCAUGGUCUCUCUCUGUGGAGACACCCUGGCACAACAUGAACUAGCAGGGUUCAAAGAGGGUGUGGGCUUUGCCUACAGUAAGUGCAGACACUGUGAGUGUUCUUUUGAGGACAUGCAGUCACUCUUCAAUGAGGAUGCAUAUACUAAAAGGACAUUGGAGAAGCAUGUCAGACAGUGUGAUGAAAUAGAAAACGCUAAGACGGACUUGCUAUGCAACAGCCUGAGAACAACAUAUGGGAUCAAUAGAAGGAGCAAGUUAGUUGAAUUCCCAGCCUUUGAUAUUAUAGAACAACUCCGCAAGACAUUAUGCAUGUAAUUCUGGAGGGCAUUGGAAAUCAAAUGUGUUUUGAAUCAUCUUGUUGUGUCAGGACAUAUUGAUCUGGACUGCUAUUCUUGGUUUCCUUUAUUCCCCUCUAGAUGUUAGAGAUUGGCCAUCCCCCAAUUUCUGUUAGUACAUUAACGUCAAGUGAUGGUAAACUUAAACAGUCAUCUGGGCAAAUGCUUGUCCUGCUAGGGAUAUUGCCAUGUGUUUUGGAGAGUUUGGAAGUCAAUGCAUAUAGUAUAUGAUACAUUUGCCAUCACAGAUAAAGUCAUUGGGGCCAAUGGUUAGACAUUUGUGUAUGCGUUUUGAGUCUAAACAUUGUUUCUUUAAACAAUGGGCUUCCGAGCUAAAUUUAAAACAUAUUUGCAGGUCUUUAAUUAAUCAUAACCAAAUAUAUGAAAGUUGCUAAACUGUUGACAGUUCAAUGCACCCAAUUUUUUUUAAUGAAAUGUAUCAGAGGUUAAAGAUCUACUAUAUUUACGUGGAAAAUUCAGGGACUUCCUAGGUUUCAAUAAAGUAAACCAUGCUGUAUCAGUCAAAUGGCUUGUGAUACAUUUUAAUAAAUACAUAACUCAGAAGUCCAUGAUCUUUGCCAAAGUACUGAAUGAUACAGUAGUAUGCCAGAAUUUGGACUGGUCAAAACAUAUUUCUUGUUGAUUCUAGGCUUUAUUGUUUGGAAUAUCAACCAUUUCAAACUAUACGUUUUGCAGAGAAAGUGGGUAGUAGUCUGUUCCCAUGUUUAUGCCUCCUCUGUCUCGUCCCGCCCCCCCACACACACACUACAUGUUCAUGUUUUUAAAUGUAUGUAAAUUGUAAAGUAUUUUGCCUGUAAUGUAUUUUCCGUUAUGUGUCGGACCCCAGUAAGAGUAAGUGUCACCACGUUGGCGUCAGCUAAUGGGGAUCCUAAUAAAUCAAACCCCAUACAGGCUUUGGGGUUUUAUGAUGGCUUAUGCUGAUAUUGUGCAGAUAUUAGAUAUUAAAUAUUAUAUAUUCACGUUGAGACACUUCUUGUAAACCCAGGUUGCAUUUCCUGUCUAAGUGUGCGUUCCCUUAGUUACCACAUUACAGCAAGAACAGAUAUUGUCCAUUCCCUGUGUUAGUCUCGCAUCACCCACAGUCUGACGGGCACCUCUUAAUGUUACUGUUACACAGAAUGAAAAUGUCUAUGGAAAUACUCUUCGUGCGUCACUUUUGGGAUGUGUGUAAUUACAUUUAUAUACCAUAACUCAUAGCAAUUCAAAAAGAAAAAACCAUAAAAAACAGCCAGCGAGGGUUCGUAUGUCAUACAGAGCAACUGAAUGUAAACAGAAGAUUGGAGUAGCAGGCAUCGCUCCACCACAGCUAAUGUAAAUGUUAGUGGGUAGUGGGGGUGUCGGAGGAUUACAUUUGGAGCCUAGUUUUAUGAGUGGUUGAAGUUAUUGUAAGCGGCACAAGGUUUGUUUUUGUGUGUGUGCUUGGAUAAUGUUGGCAUGACUUUGUGGAGGAAAUAUGAUUUCCCCCCAAAAGGACUGUUACUGUAAGGUUCCUGUGCCAGUUCUAGGAUCUUGUUGCCUUGAACUGACUCUCAA